CUCCUACAAAUCACCCAUAUACCAUACUCGUGUCACCACACGUCUUGAUUAAAAAGACAACCAAUUAAUAUGGCAUACAAUGACCUACACUCGAUACAAUUAUUGUCCUUGUAAUAAUAGUAUUAUUUGGUCAUGAGCAGGAUUUAAGAACCACAUAAUAAAUCCUUUUCUAUCAUUUUUGUAGUAGUUCUUGUAGGAACC
rnacentral:lncRNA from 1 species